rnacentral:rRNA from 1 species
GAUGAACGCUGGCGGUGUGCCUAACACAUGCAAGUCGAACGGAAGUAAGUGCUUCGGUAUUUACUUUAGUGGCGAACGGGUGAGUAACGCGUGAGGAACCUGCCUUUCAGUGGGGGACAACAGUUGGAAACGACUGCUAAUACCGCAUGAUACUUUUGGGGGCAUCCCUAAAGAGUCAAAGCUUUAUGUGCUGAAAGAUGGUCUCGCGUCUGAUUAGCUAGUUGGCGAGGUAAUGGCUCACCAAGGCGACGAUCAGUAGCCGGUCUGAGAGGAUGAACGGCCACAUUGGGACUGAGAUACGGCCCAG